rnacentral:rRNA from 1 species
UAAUACGUAGGGUGCGAGCGUUAAUCGGAAUUACUGGGCGUAAAGCGUGCGCAGGCGGUUUGUCAAGUCGGAUGUGAAAUCCCCGGGCUUAACCUGGGAAUUGCGUUCGAAACUAGCAGGCUAGAGUGCGGCAGAGGGGGGUAGAAUUCCACGUGUAGCAGUGAAAUGCGUAGAGAUGUGGAGGAAUACCGAUGGCGAAGGCAGCCCCCUGGGUCGACACUGACGCUCAUGCACGAAAGCGUGGGGAGCAAACAGGAUUAGAUACCCUGGUAGUCCACGCCCUAAACGAUGUCAACUAGUUGUUGGAGAAGGAGACUUCUUUAGUAACGCAGCUAACGCGCGAAGUUGACCGCCUGGGGAGUACGGUCGCAAGAUUA